rnacentral:lncRNA from 1 species
CUUUUGUUCUGACCUCUAUUUGUGUAGACAGGUUUUAUACCAUAAUUUACCCACUGACAUUCAAAGUAACACGUGGUACGUCAAAAAGAAUGAUUGGAGUUGCCUGUUUUGUUUCAAUGGUCUUUUCAAGUUUUUCUCUGUAUUUUUAUGAGGAAGUUGUGAUUACUAAAAACAAUGUGAGCUACCAUUUUUGUCCAACAUAUAUAUCACCAGAGACGGCGCGGUGGGCUGGAGUAGGUUACAUCAUCUCUAUACUUAUAAUACAGUAUAUAUCGCCUGUUGUUAUCAUGAUUGUGCUUUACGCCAAGGUGUUCCACUUUAUAUGGAGACAUUCAAGUGUGUGUCUUCAAUUUCAAAGAACAAUGAAUUCAGUUCCAAGAACAAAAGUUAAAAUGGUGAAAAUGUUAAUGAUCACUGCUCUGUCAAACGUCGGGUUGAUUUCACCUAUGUAUUUCCUUCAGCUAAUCGUUGGUUUCUUGACAUCAACUCCCAUUGACAAUUUCUGGUACUACGCAUGUGUGAUACUCGUUUUUAGUUCCAGCGUCAUCAAGCCGGCAAUUUACAUGUGUUAUAAUUCCAACUUCCGUCGUGGAUGCAGGGAAGUAUUUUGCAUGUCUACCAUGCAGUGUUAUAGACGUGAGCAAUACACGAUUACAAAUAUUUCUUCACUAGGAAGAAGAAAUCACAUUGGUGUAAUGAACUGUACAUCACAACUCAACUCGCCAUCACAUACGUUCGAC